AUGACGCUACACACCAAGCCCAUCGCCGUGCUACACAGUAGCACCAUGGGCGGCCAAUCCGGCUCCACCGCCACCUACCAGUGGGUGCGCAAGCACUUCGACUGGCGGGGACUCAAGUGCGACAUCGACGACUUCAUGCAUCAGUGCUUGGUGUGCCAGCAGGCCAAGCACGAGCAUGUCAAACCAGCCGGCCUCAUGGCACCGCUUCAAAUUCUGGCGGCGCCUUGGGAAGAUUUGACCAUGGAUUUUGUCGAUGGCCUCCCGUGGUCAGAAGGCUUUGACACAAUCAUGAUCGUUGUCGAUCGCUUCACCAAGUUCUCGCACUUCAUCCCUCUGCACCACCCCUUCCAUGCUAAGUGGCGCGCGCCUUCCAAGAUAACGUGGUGA
rnacentral:rRNA from 1 species